UAAGUGGGAGCUUCGGCGCA
rnacentral:sRNA from 1 species